rnacentral:rRNA from 1 species
UACGAAGGGGGCGAGCGUUGUUCGGAAUUACUGGGCGUAAAGGGCGCGCAGGCGGCUCUGAAAGUCAGAUGUGAAAGCCCCGGGCUUAACCUGGGAAUUGCAUUUGAUACUCUGGAGCUUGAGUGUGGGAGAGGAGAGUGGAAUUCCCAGUGUAGAGGUGAAAUUCGUAGAUAUUGGGAAGAACACCGGUGGCGAAGGCGGCUCUCUGGACCACAACUGACGCUGAGGCGCGAAAGCGUGGGGAGCAAACGGG